UGGGAGUAUUAUUGCUGUGGAGCUCUGUUAUACACUCAGACACAUUAUUGAGAGUAUUAUUGCUGUGGGGCUCUGUUAUACACUCAGACACAUUACUGGGAGUAUUAUUGCUGCGGGGCUCUGUUAUACACUCAGACACAUUACUGGGAGUAUAAUUGCUGCGGGGCUCUGUUAUACACUCAGACACAUUACUGGGAGUAUUAUUGCUGUGGAGCUCUGUUAUACACUCAGACACAUUACUGGGAUUAUUAUUACUGUGGAGCUCUGUUAUACACUCAGGCACAUUACUGGGAGUAUUAUUGCUGUGGAGCUCUGUUAUACACUCAGACACAUUACUGGGAGUAUUAUUACUGUGGAUCUCUGUUAUACACUCAGUCACAUUACUGGGAGUAUUAUUGCUGUGGAGCUCUG